rnacentral:tmRNA from 1 species
GGGGCCGUUUUUGGUUUCGACGGUUGGCUGUUAUAAGUCAAGGAGCAUGCAGAGGUUGGCACCGUACUCUCUUUAAUUUUUCGGUGCGCUUAUAAUCGGCAACGAUUACGCUUUAGCUGCCUAAUUAACAGGUAGCCGAUGACUAGAAGGGCGCCCAAGACUUUCUACGAUUCGUCAUUUUCCUCGGGCUAGCUUUUUUUGUUCCUGUCUGAGACAGAAAAAGUGAAAUUUUUUCAGACUUAGGGUUAGGAAGCUGGUUCUUUGGGUGAACUAACCUGAAAAUUUUACAAGAACUAAGCAUGUAGUAGCCUUUUCUAUAACCCAUAUCGGACACGGGUUCGACUCCCGUCGGCUCCACCA